AGGUCCGCCGUACCGGUGGCCGGCCGGUACCGGUACCGUACCGGCCGGUAUGCGGUGGUUUCAAAAACCACAGCGCGCGGCGCUGUGGUUCUAAAAAAAAAAAUCGUACUGGUGCGAACCGGCCGGUACGGGCCCGUACCGGCCGGUUUGGAUAAAAAACCGGAAAAUACCGGUUUUUUAUCCGUUCCGGUACCGGACCGGUACGGGCCGGUACGGCAUUCCAUGCUCUUGAGUCUUGACUGAUACUUUUUAACUUCACUGGCCAUGAAUCAAAUGAUUUAGAAGAAUUCAAAAAAUAUAACACCUAUGUCUCCACUAAUACUCAAGACCAAAGAUUACAUGAGUAAUCUAAAUAAAGCUUCCUGAUUAUAAGCAACAACUUCUAUAGUUCUGCUGGAAAGUGGAGUUGCAAUUCCAUGUUUGUUGUUGUGACAACUCACGGUUAUAAGAACAGUUUCAAAUAUGUCCCAACUGUUUUGGGUCGGCUUUAUGAAUUCUUAUUUGCCAAGUAUUCUUAUUUAGGGCUAUCUUAGAUCUUCCCCUCUUUUUCUUAACACCUUCAACACAAAUCAAAAAUACCUCUCUUUACUGGAGC
rnacentral:lncRNA from 1 species